UGGAGAGUAGCUCAACUGGUAGAGCAUCCGGCUGUUAACCGGAAGGUUGCGGGAUCGAAGCCCGCCUUUCCAGCCA
rnacentral:tRNA from 1 species